rnacentral:lncRNA from 1 species
CUGGCGUAAGGGUGAUUGCCACAUCUCGGAUUCGCCGCGGGGCAACUACCUGGGAAAACCGCAGACUGGGCAAUGAAAGACUACAUCCGGCAACCGGAUGCUGGGUUCUGUGACUCCAGGAAAAGGGGCUCCUGGGCCCAGGGAGAACAUACUAGGCGAUCUCGACAGUCGCUCCGUGACAGCCCACCAACCCCCAACCCUCUACCUCGCAGCCACCCUAAAGGCGACUUCAAGAAGAUGGAAGGAUCUCACGGAUCUCAUUCCUAAUGGUCCGCCGAAGUCUCACACAGUAGACAGACGGAGUUGAGAUGCUGGAGGAUGCAGUCACCUCCUAAACUUACGACCCACCACCAGACUUCAUCCCAGCCGGGACGUCCUCCCCCACCCGAGUCCUCCCCAUUUCUUCUCCUACUUUGCCGCAGUUCCAGGUGUCCUGCUUCCACCAGUCCCACAAAGCUCAAUAAAUACCAAGAGACCUGCAUUUACAGCAGGGGGAACAUCUCACACCCUUGCAUAAGUUAAAAUAAAUAUUACGUACACAUCUCCAUCACCUAGGAGGACGUACAUAAAUACAUAUAAAUAUUAAUUAGGAGCAAUAAGAAAU